rnacentral:rRNA from 1 species
UACCAGCUCUCCGAGUGGUAGGGAUGAUUAUUGGGCUUAAAGCGUCCGUAGCCGGCUUAGUAAGUCUCCUGUUAAAUUCAGCGACCUAAUCGUUGAGCCGCGGGAGAUACUACUAGGCUAGGAGGCGGGAGAGGUCAACGGUACUUCCGGGGUAGGGGUGAAAUCCUAUAAUCCCGGGAGGACCACCAGUGGCGAAGGCUGUUGACUAGAACGCGCUCGACGGUGAGGGACGAAAGCUGGGGGAGCGAACCGGAUUAGAUACCCGGGUAGUCCCAGCUGUAAACGAUGCGAGCUAGGUGUUGGGGUGGCUACGUGCCACUUCAGUGCCGCAGGGAAGCCAUUAAGCUCGCCGCCUGGGGAGUACGGCCGCAAGGCUGAAACUUAAAGGAAUUGGCGGGGGAGCACCACAAGGCGUGAAGCUUGCGGUUC